rnacentral:rRNA from 1 species
CGCCAGCCUGACGGAGCCAGACCGCGUGGGGGAGGAAGGCCCUUGGGUUGUAAACCCCUUUUCUCAGGGAAGAAGACCUGACGGUACCUGAGGAAUCAGCCUCGGCUAACUCCGUGCCAGCAGCCGCGGUAAUACGGAGGAGGCAAGCGUUAUCCGGAAUUAUUGGGCGUAAAGCGUCCGCAGGGGGCUCAUCAAGUCUGCUGUCAAAGGUCGGAGCUCAACUCCGGUUCGGCAGUGGAAACUGGUGGGCUAGAGGGCGACAGGGGUAGAGGGAAUUCCCAGUGUAGCGGUGAAAUGCGUAGAGAUUGGGAAGAACACCGGUGGCGAAAGCGCUUUGCUGGACCGAACCUGACGCUGAGGGACGAAAGCUAAGGUAGCG